rnacentral:rRNA from 1 species
CAGUUAAAAAGCUCGUAGUUGAACCUCAGACCUGGCCGGGUGGUCUGCCUCACGGUAUGUACUGUCUGGCUGGGUCUUACCUCUUGGUGAGCCGGCAUGCCCUUUACUGGGUGUGUCGGGGAACCAGGACUUUUACCUUGAGAAAAUUAGAGUGUUCAAAGCAGGCCUAUGCCUGAAUACAUUAGCAUGGAAUAAUAAAAUAGGACGUGCGGUUCUAUUUUGUUGGUUUCUACAGUCGCCGUAAUGAUUAAUAGGGAUAGUUGGGGGCAUUAGUAUUCAGUUGCUAGACGUGAAAUUCUUGGAUUUACUGAAGACUAACUACUGCGACAGCAUUUGCCACGCAUGUCUUCAUUAAUCAAGAACGAAGGUUAGGGGAUCGAAAACGAUC